AGUUCACAGGUAGCGCAACCUGUCUCGUAGUGUUCAUUUUCAAUGGCUAUUAAACGCUGUAAAUGAAAAUGACAUCUUGUACUAAUGGAUGUCUUCAGUCGAAGAAGGUUCGGAAAUGAUAUUUCCAUAUGCUUAAAAUAGGUUGGGAGGUUAUUUUUCAAGACCCCGAGGAAGUGUGAGGUGUAUGGAAUCAGCUGUGAAGGAUCUGGAAAGCAGGUGUUUUACCUCGCAGAGGAAGGCCAGUCAUAUGGUAAAGGUGCAAAUGCUGUGGUCAGCCAGGUUCACCACUACCUCAACACAUACGGUCUUUGCGAACAGCAUGCUCACUUUCAGUGUGACAACUGUUGCAGCCAAAAUAAAAACAACAUAGCCAUCUGGUACCUUCUGUGGAGAGUUCUUGUAGGUAAUAACAAGCCCU